rnacentral:lncRNA from 1 species
GCAACUUGGUAGAUUCACGCCGAGCCAGGGGGCUCACUCCCGCAGCAGCCGGCCCAGUCACGCCUCGAAAGAUCUGCGAGCACCACGCCGUUAACUCUCAGCCUCUUAAAAACAUACAGACUCCAAGUGCCGCACCAGACACGCGAACGUCAGGGCAUCCUCCCGCUCCAGCAGCGCAGGCUCUCCGCAGCCUUCUCUUUCACCUCAAGGAUGCGACCGUCACUCCCAGGUGGAUGGGGCUUCCUCUGGCACCCUGGGCUCUGUCCUCCGAUCCCGACACCAUCACGCCCACACUCUGCCGGGUGCCUCAGACUCAUAUGCCCGACACUAAUCAAUCGUCCCCGGCCCCACCUCCUCCUGCAGUUCUGAGUUGAGUCAAGGACGUGACGGGAACCUCCAAGGUACCAGAACCUAACCUUCAGGAUGAUGCUGUCCUCUGCCCUCCGGCCUGCUCUGAAGCUCCAGGCUCCCUGAGCUCAGGCCAGGCAGUGUGUUCAGUUGGCUGCCCCUGUGGCCUGCAUGUGUUCCUGUACACACACGGCAGGGGCUGGAGCGUGUCUGUGAGUGCGUGAGCUCCCCGUACACACACAGAAGGUGCUGGAGCGUGUCUGUGAGCACGUGAGCACCCUGCACACACAUGGCAGGUGCUGGAGUGUGUCUGUGAGCGCGUGAGCACCCUGUACACACAUGGCACAUGCCAGAGUGCAUCUGUGAGCAUGUGAGUGCCCUGUACAGACACGGCAGGUGCUGGAGUGCCUCUGUGAGCAUGUGAGUGCCCUGUACACACACGGCAAGUGCUGGAGUGCGUCUGUGAGCGUAUGAGUGCCCUGUACACACAUGGCAGGUGCCGGAGUGCGUCUGUGAGCAUAUGAGUGCCCUGUACAGACAUGGCAGGUGCUGGAGUGCGUCUGUGAGCGUGUGAGCGCCCUGUACACACGUGGCACGUGCCGGAGUGCGUCUGUGAGCAUGUGAGCGCCCUGUACACACACGGCAGGUGCUGGAACAUGUCUGUGAGCACCCCGGACACACACAGCAGGUGCUGGAGAGUGUCUGUGAGGGUGUGAGCGCCCUGUACACACACAGCAGGUGCUGGAGUGUGUCUGUGAGUGUGCGAGCACCCUGUACACACACGGCAGGUGCCAGAGGACGUCUGUGAGCACGUGAGUGGCCUGUACACACACGGCAGAUGCCAGAGCACGUCUGCGAGCGCCCCGUACACACACAGCAGGUGCUGGAGAGUGUCU